rnacentral:rRNA from 1 species
GACGAACGCUGGCGGCGUGCCUAAUACAUGCAAGUCGAACGCAGUGGGGACGGGUGAGUAACACGUGGGUAACCUCCCAUCAGAGGGGAUAACACUUGGAAACAGGUGCUAAACCGAUACUGAUGGAUGGACCCGCGGUGCAUUAGCUAGUUGGUGGGGUAACGGCUCACCAAGGCCACGAUGCAUAGCCGGCCGGAGAGGGUGAUAGGCCACGGUGGGACUGGAACACGGCCCAGACUCCUACGGGAGGCAGCGGUAGGGAAUCUUCGGCAAUGGACGAAAGUCUAACCGGGCAACGCCGCGUGAGUGAGGAAGGUUUGCGGAUCGUAAAACUCUGUGGUUAGGGAAGCGGUAUCUAACCAGAAAGCCACGGCUGACUACGUGCCAGCAGCCGCGGUAGUUC